rnacentral:rRNA from 1 species
CCUACGGGCGACAGCAGUGGGGAAUAUUUCGCAAUGGGCGAAAGCCUGACGCCGCGACUCCGCGUGAGGGAUGAAGGUCUUCGGAUCGUACACCUCUGUCAGCAGGGAAGAACGGUCACUGUGCUAAUCAGCAGUGAAUUGACGGUACCUGCAAAGGAAGCACCGGAUAACUCCGUGCCAGCAGCCGCGGUAAUACGGAGGGUGCGAGCGUUAAUCGGAAUUACUGGGCGUAAAGCGCUCGUAGGCGGUAUGUCAAGUCAAGGGGGAAAUCCCCGCGCUCAACGUGGGAACUGCCUUUGAAACUUGCAAACUGGAGUGUGUGAGAGGAUAGUGGAAUUCCAGGUGUAGGAGUGAAAUCCGUAGAUAUCUGGAGGAACAUCAGUGGCGAAGGCGACUAUCUGGCACAUAACUGACGCUGAGGAGCGAAAGCGUGGGUAGCAAACAGGAUUAGAUACCCUGGUAGUC